rnacentral:rRNA from 1 species
CUUGGUCAUUUAGAGGAAGUAAAAGUCGUAACAAGGUCUCCGUAGGUGAACCUGCGGAGGGAUCAUUACAAGUGACCCCGGUCUAAUCACCGGGAUGUUCAUAACCCUUUGUUGUCCGACUCUGUUGCCUCCGGGGCGACCCUGCCCUCGGGCGGGGGCUCCGGGUGGACACUUCAAACUCUUGCGUAACUUUGCAGUCUGAGUAAACUUAAUUAAUAAAUUAAAACUUUUAACAACGGAUCUCUUGGUUCUGGCAUCGAUGAAGAACGCAGCGAAAUGCGAUAAGUAAUGUGAAUUGCAGAAUUCAGUGAAUCAUCGAAUCUUUGAACGCACAUUGCGCCCCCUGGUAUUCCGGGGGGCAUGCCUGUUCGAGCGUCAUUUCACCACUCAAGCCUCGCUUGGUAUUGGGCAACGCGGUCCGCCGCGUGCCUCAAAUCGACCGGCUGGGUCUUCUGUCCCCUAAGCGUUGUGGAAACUAUUCGCUAAAGGGUGUUCGGGAGGCUACGCCGUAAAACAACCCCAUUUCUAAGGUUGACCUCGGAUCAGGUAGGGAUACCCGCUGAACUUAAGCAUAUCAAUAAGCGGAGGA